CUGUGAAGCUGGGUUGACCCCUUAGAGCGUAUGGUGGAGAUCUUUUCCUUGACUGCACAUGCUUCGGUGGGCCUUCUGAACUGCAGCACCACCCUUCAGGGAUCAGUCUAAUAACCAGCAGAGCACUACAGGAGCCACGCUACCCCUGGAUACGAUGCAAUACGAGGUGAAGGGAUUAGCAUGAGAUUGUGACAAGAAGAGGAAACAGCACAGCAUAAGCGAUCUCUCCUGAUAAAGAUCUUGUGAGCAGAGAAGAGCAGAGGAAGUGGGACACGUGUGACGAUUCCUAUGACGGUAUGUGGGCCUCCUCACCAGGCAGUCUGCUGGGACUUGGGCUGAAACGUUGGGAAUUUGGUUAAACUUGGAGAUAGUUUUGUCUUUUGUUGUUGUUGUUGUUUUUUAAUUACGUGAAGUGAAUGGGAACUUCUUGUUUUGUAGCUACAUA
ensembl:lncRNA